AAAGAAUUAGUUAAAAUAUAACAUAAAUAUGUCAAAUUUAAAUUAUUAUUAUUACAUAAAUAAUAUUCUUUA
rnacentral:tRNA from 1 species